rnacentral:rRNA from 1 species
UACAGAGGGUGCGAGCGUUGUUCGGAAUUAUUGGGCGUAAAGGGCGCGUAGGCUGUGCUGUAAGUCAGGCGUGAAAGCCCCGGGCUCAACCUGGGAAUUGCGCUUGAUACUGCGGCGCUGGAAGGUGGGAGAGGAUGGCGGAAUUCCCAGUGUAGAGGUGAAAUUCGUAGAUAUUGGGAAGAACACCGGUGGCGAAGGCGGCCAUCUGGCCCAUUUUUGACGCUGAGGCGCGAAAGCGUGGGGAGCAAACAGG